UUGUAGCUCAAUGGUAGAGCUUCCGACUACUGUGCGAAAGGUUACAGGUUCGACUCCUCUUGGUAAAA